rnacentral:rRNA from 1 species
UAGAGUUUUAGAGUUUGUCAGUGGCUCAGAUUGCGGCGUGGCGGCUACAUGCAAGUAGACAAAAUGAGGAGGUGCUUGCACAUCUUGGUUAGGGGCGGAGGGGUGAGUAACGGGGGGGCAACUCGCGGGUAAGACUGGGAUGAGGUGGGGAAACCGGAGCUAAUGCCGCUUAAUCCUUUUCAUGUCACGAGGAAAAAGUGAAAGUCGGUCUGCCCUCACGCUUUCAGAUGUGCCCGCAUCGCAUUAGCUAGUUGGUGAUAGACGGCUCACCAUAGGCGACGAUCCCUAGCUGGUCUGAGAGGAUGACCAGCCACACUGGAACUGAGACACGGUCCAGACUCCUACGGGAGGCAGCAGUGGGGAAUAUUGCACAAUGGGCGCAAGCCUGAUGCAGCCUUGCCGCGUGUGUGAAGAAGGCCUUCGGGUUGUUAAGCACUUUCAGCGUGUAGGAAGGCGGUAAAGUUAAUAACCUUGUCGAUUGACGUUACCCGCAGAAGAAGCACCGGCUAACUCCGUGCCACCACCCGCCGUAAUACGGAGGGUGCAAGCGUUAAUCGGAAUUACUGGGCGUAAAGCGCACGCAAGCGGUCUGUCGAGUCCGAUGUGAAAUCCCCGGGCUCAACCUGGGUACUGCAUUCAAAACUGGUAGGCUAUAGUCUUGUAGAGGGCGGUAGAAUUCCACGUGUAUCGGUGAAAUGCGUAGAGAUCUGGAGGAAUACCGAUGACGAACGCGGCCCACUGGACAUAUACUGACUCUCACUGGCGAUAGCGUGCGGAGCCAACAGGAUUAGAUACCCUGGUAGUCCACGCCGUAAACGAUGAGUGCUAAGUGUUAGGGGGUUUCCGCCCCUUAGUGCUGCAGCUAACGCAUUAAGCACUCCGCCUGGGGAGUACGGUCGCAAGACUGAAACUCAAAGGAAUUGACGGGGGCCCGCACAAGCGGUGGAGCAUGUGGUUUAAUUCGAAGCAACGCGAAGAACCUUACCAGGUCUUGACAUCCUCUGACAAUCCUAGAGAUAGGACGUCCCCUUCGGGGGCAGAGUGACAGGUGGUGCAUGGUUGUCGUCAGCUCGUGUCGUGAGAUGUUGGGUUAAGUCCCGCAACGAGCGCAACCCUUGAUCUUAGUUGCCAGCAUUCAGUUGGGCACUCUAAGGUGACUGCCGGUGACAAACCGGAGGAAGGUGGGGAUGACGUCAAAUCAUCAUGCCCCUUAUGACCUGGGCUACACACGUGCUACAAUGGACAGAACAAAGGGCAGCGAAACCGCGAGGUUAAGCCAAUCUCACAAAUCUGUUCUCAGUUCGGAUCGCAGUCUGCAACUCGACUGCGUGAAGCUGGAAUCGCUAGUAAUCGCGGAUCAGCAUGCCGCGGUGAAUACGUUCCCGGGCCUUGUACACACCGCCCGUCACACCACGAGAGUGUGUAACACCCGAAGUCGGUGAGGUAACCUUUUAGGAGCCAGCCGCCGCAUGUGGGACAGAUGAUUGGG